rnacentral:rRNA from 1 species
AUUGAACGCUGGCGGCAGGCUUAACACAUGCAAGUCGAGCGGAGAUGAGGUGCUUGCACCUUAUCUUAGCGGCGGACGGGUGAGUAAUGCUUAGGAAUCUGCCUAUUAGUGGGGGACAACAUUCCGAAAGGAAUGCUGAUACCGCAUACGUCCUACGGGAGAAAGCAGGGGAUCUUCGGACCUUGCGCUAAUAGAUGAGCCUAAGUCGGAUUAGCUAGUUGGUGGGGUAAAGGCCUACCAAGGCAACGAUCUGUAGCGGGUCUGAGAGGAUGAUCCGCCACACUGGGACUGAGACACGGUCCAGACUCCUACGGGAGGCAGCAGUGGGGAAUAUUGGACAAUGGGGGGAACCCUGAUCCAGCCAUGCCGCGUGUGUGAAGAAGGCCUUAUGGUUGUAAAGCACUUUAAGCGAGGAGGAGGCUACUGAGACUAAUACUCUUGGAUAGUGGACGUUACUCGCAGAAUAAGCACCGGCUAUCUCUGUGCCAGCAGCCGCGGUAAAAC